rnacentral:lncRNA from 1 species
GGUGGGACAUCGAAGACAGUAAAACUAGACCCAAGUAUUUACAUGUUUUAUUAAAUCUUUACAAUCAGUAAUUAUAAUCAAAUACACAAUUAUAUACAAGGAUUAUGUACAUUUUGCCCAGACUUUACAUCACAGUACACAGUUUCCCAUAGAAAGAUUGUACACAUUUAUCACCAAACAAUAAAACCCAACAACAGUGGUGUUAGAGCACCUGUUAGAACAGACAUCUUUUUCAUAAAUUACAUCAUAAGAAAAUAUACGGCUGUAAAUUGGGCUUGUUUAAAAACGGCUUUUAUAAAAUCUGAACAUACAACGUCUCAUUCACAGAAUGUUUCUAUGUUCUGACUACAGCCUUGCUGGGAUGUUCACUGAGCCCCAGGGACAAGCACUCUGAACCCCGCUCACUGAGCCCCAGGGACAAGCACUUUGAACCCCGCUCACUGAGCCCCAGGGGCAGCACUUAAUCCUGCGCACUGAGCCCCAGGGACAAGCACUUAAUCCCGCUCACUGAGCCCCAGGGACAAGCACUCUGAACCCUGCUCACUGAGCCCCAGGGACAAGCACUCAAUCCCGCUCACUGAGCCCCAGGGACAAGCACUCAAUCCCGCUCACUGAGCCCCAGGGACAAGCACUCUGAACCCCGCUCACUGUGCCCCAGGGACAAGCACUCUGAACUCCGUUUACUGAGCCCCAGGGACAAGCACUCAAUCCCGCUCACUGAGCCCCAGGGACAAGCACUCUGAACCCUGCUCACUGAGCCCCAGGGACAAGCACUCUGAACCCCGCUCACUGAGCCCCAGGGACAAGCACUCAAUCCCGCUCACUGAGCCCCAGGGACAAGCACUCAAUCCCGCUCACUAAGCCCCAGGGACAAGCACUCAUCCCGCUCACUGAGCCCCAGGGACAAGCACUCAAUCCCGCUCACUGAGCCCCAGGGACAAGCACUCUGAAGCCCGCUCACUGAGCCCCAGGGACAAGCACUCAUCCCGCUCGCUGAGCCCCAAGGACAAGCACUCUGACCCCCGCUCGGGAGCUCUCCUAGGAUGCGCUGGCAGGGCUCAGGAGAGAGGACACUGCUGGCUCUGCUUAGACAGAAAGGCCGCGGGACGGGACCUGAAUCUACAUGAAUCCGUGACAGUAGCUGUGUUGGAGAAAUCAAAAUCAGAGAGAGCACACCCUUUCAUUUCACUAAGACUGUGAAGAAAAGGGGAAAAGUA